UGGGGAAUAUUGGACAAUGGGCGAAAGCCUGAUCCAGCCAUGCCGCGUGAGUGACGAAGGCCUUAGGGUUGUAAAACUCUUUCGUCGGGGACGAUAAUGACGGUACCCGAAGAAGAAGCUCCGGCUAACUUCGUGCCAGCAGCCGCGGUAAUACGUAGGGACCAAGCGUUGUCCGGAUGUACUGGGCGUAAAGGGCGCGUAGGCGGCAUGACAAGUCACUUGUGAAAUCUCUGGGCUUAACCCAGAACGGCCAAGUGAUACUGUCGCGCUAGAGUGCAGAAGGGGCAAUCGGAAUUCUUGGUGUAGCGGUGAAAUGCGUAGAUAUCAAGAGGAACACCUGAGGUGAAGACGGGUUGCUGGGCUGACACUGACGCUGAGGCGCGAAAGCCAGGGGAGCAAACAGGAUUAGAUACCCUCGUAGUCCCUGAGCGGGCUGGCAAGGCGCAU
rnacentral:rRNA from 1 species